UACGGAGGGUGCGAGCGUUAUCCGGAAUCACUGGGUUUAAAGGGUGCGUAGGCGGUUAUAUAAGUCAGUGGUGAAAGGCCGUCGCUUAACGAUGGGACUGCCAUUGAUACUGUAUAACUUGAGAGAGGUUGAGGUUGGCGGAAUGUGGCAUGUAGCGGUGAAAUGCUUAGAUAUGCCAUAGAACACCAAUUGCGAAGGCAGCUGACUAGACCUCAUCUGACGCUGAGGCACGAAAGCGUGGGGAGCGAAC
rnacentral:rRNA from 1 species